rnacentral:rRNA from 1 species
UACGUAGGGUGCAAGCGUUGUCCGGAAUUACUGGGCGUAAAGGGCUCGUAGGUGGCCAACUAAGUCAGACGUGAAAUCCCUCGGCUUAACCGGGGAACUGCGUCUGAUACUGGAUGGCUUGAGAUUGGGAGAGGGAUGCGGAAUUCCAGGUGUAGCGGUGAAAUGCGUAGAUAUCUGGAGGAACACCGGUGGCGAAGGCGGCAUCCUGGACCAACACUGACGCUGAGGAGCGAAAGCCAGGGGAGCAAACGGG